rnacentral:rRNA from 1 species
UACGGGGGGGGCAAGCGUUGUUCGGAAUUACUGGGCGUAAAGGGCGCGUAGGCGGCCUGCUAAGUCACACGUGAAAUCCCUCGGCUCAACCGGGGAACUGCGUGUGAUACUGGCGGGCUUGAAUUCGGGAGAGGGAUGUGGAAUUCCAGGUGUAGCGGUGAAAUGCGUAGAUAUCUGGAGGAACACCGGUGGCGAAGGCGGCGUCCUGGACCAACACUGACACUGAGGAGCGAAAGCCAGGGGAGCAAACGGG